rnacentral:rRNA from 1 species
CCACUGGAUGAGGGGCCUGCGUAGCAUCAGCUAGUUGGUGGGGUAAUGGCCUACCAAGGCGAAGACGCUUAGCUGGUCUGAGAGGAUGAUCAGCCACACUGGGACUGAGACACGGCCCAGACUCCUACGGGAGGCAGCAGUGGGGAAUAUUGGACAAUGGGCGCAAGCCUGAUCCAGCCACGCCGCGUGAGUGAUGAAGGCCUUCGGGUCGUAAAGCUCUGUGGGGAGGGACGAACGGCGCCAUGAAGAGUGGCGAUUGACGGUACUCCUUAGCAAGCACCGGCUAACUUCGUGCCAGCAGCCGCGGUAAUACGAAGGGUGCAAACGUUGCUCGGAAUCAUUGGGCGUAAAGCGCACGUAGGCGGCUUUCUAAGUCGGAUGUGAAAUCCCUCGGCUUAACCGAGGACGUGCAUCCGAAACUGGGAGGCUUGAGUAUGGAAGAGGGUCGCAGAAUUCCCGGUGUAGAGGUGAAAUUCGUAGAUAUCGGGAGG